rnacentral:rRNA from 1 species
AACGAACGCUGGCGGCAGGCCUAACACAUGCAAGUCGAGCGCGCCCUUCGGGGUGAGCGGCGGACGGGUGAGUAACGCGUGGGAACGUGCCCUUUUCUACGGAAUAGCCUCGGGAAACUGAGAGUAAUACCGUAUACGCCCAUUGGGGGAAAGAUUUAUCGGAAAAGGAUCGGCCCGCGUUGGAUUAGGUAGUUGGUGGGGUAAUGGCCUACCAAGCCGACGAUCCAUAGCUGGUUUGAGAGGAUGAUCAGCCACACUGGGACUGAGACACGGCCCAGACUCCUACGGGAGGCAGCAGUGGGGAAUCUUAGACAAUGGGGGCAACCCUGAUCUAGCCAUGCCGCGUGAGUGAUGAAGGCCUUAGGGUUGUAAAGCUCUUUCAGCUGGGAAGAUAAUGACGGUACCAGCAGAAGAAGCCCCGGCUAACUCCGUG